rnacentral:rRNA from 1 species
CCUACGGGAGGCUGCAGUGAGGAAUAUUGGUCAAUGGGCUUACGCCUGAACCAGCCAAGUCGCGUGAGGGAAGACUGCCCUAUGGGUUGUAAACCUCUUUUGUCAGGGAGCAAUUGGCGCUACGUGUAGCGUUAUCGAGAGUACCUGAAGAAAAAGCAUCGGCUAACUCCGUGCCAGCAGCCGCGGUACUACGGAGGAUGCGAGCGUUAUCCGGAUUUAUUGGUUUUAAAGGUUGCUUAGGCGGAAUGCAAAGUCAGCGGUAAAAUCGCGGGGCUCAACCUCGCUCCGCCGUUGAAACUGGCGUUCUUGAGUGGGCGAGAAGAAGGCGGAAUGCGUGGUGUAGCGGUGAAAUGCAUAGAUAUCACGCAGAACCCCGAUUGCGAAGGCAGCCUUCCGGCGCCCUACUGACGCUGAGGCACGAAAGUGCGGGGAUCGAACAGGAUUAGAUACCCCGGUAGUC